AUUUUUAUACUGUGCUGCUGGAGACAAUGAAUAUUCCCAUGGGUGAACCCUUGGGUGAAAUCAUUACAUGGACCUCGGUGAAUGUCUUGAAAAGAAUUUGCAUCCCAUUCAAGUCAUACAAGGAGGUCUACAGUCCAGCUGUGCCGUCUGCCCGGAAUUCAGCCACACUUGUGCUGGGCUUUGAAGGAUUUGUAUCCCUUCUUCCGAGGCAGCUACUGUACAGGAGAAGAAAGAAGUGUGUUAAGACAGUGAGCACUGGGAAAAAAAUGGAUUUUGCAGUGCACUCUACAGAGCAGAAAAACAUACCAGUUUGUGUGUAAUACAUCAGCAUGAAGGAAAAUCAGAUUUUGCACCUCAAGCCAAGAUAGUAACUGGAAACUAUCCUCAAGAUGUUAGUGUAUUGCAUCCAGGUUUUAAAAACAUCAAAUAUUUCAUCACCUCCCAAGAUCUGAAUCGACGAACUAAAAGAUGUGAAUUUCCAUCUCUUCAGGGGGUUUUCUGGUCCUGCUUGCUGUCUGUAGGGAAGUGUGCAAUUUGGGUCUGUCCAUCGUCAGUCUGGCAAGCACCUGCUCAGAACAAGGCCGGUGCUAGGAGUGCAGUUAUUUCUCUACCAACCUCAGCGGGACCAGUUUGCUGAAGUUAAUGAUACCGCAAAGAUCCGCUGUUUAUCCAAAUUAAAAAUGGAAGCAGGAGACGUGUUUUGGU